rnacentral:rRNA from 1 species
UGGCGGGGGAUAACUACUGGAAACAGGUGCUAAUACCGCAUAACAGUUUAUGCCGCAUGGCAUAAGAGUGAAAGGCGCUUUCGGGUGUCGCUGAUGGAUGGACCCGCGGUGCAUUAGCUAGUUGGUGAGGUAACGGCUCACCAAGGCCACGAUGCAUAGCCGACCUGAGAGGGUGAUCGGCCACACUGGGACUGAGACACGGCCCAG